GCGGGUAUCGUAUAAUGGCUAUUACCUCAGCCUUCCAAGCUGAUAACGUGGGUUCGACUCCCUCAACCCGUU
rnacentral:tRNA from 1 species